rnacentral:rRNA from 1 species
AUUGAACGCUGGCGGCAUGCCUUACACAUGCAAGUCGAACGGCAGCACGGGAGCAAUCCUGGUGGCGAGUGGCGAACGGGUGAGUAAUAUAUCGGAACGUGCCCAGUCGUGGGGGAUAACGUAGCGAAAGCUACGCUAAUACCGCAUACGAUCUAUGGAUGAAAGCGGGGGACUCGCAAGAGCCUCGCGCGAUUGGAGCGGCCGAUAUCAGAUUAGGUAGUUGGUGGGGUAAAGGCUCACCAAGCCAACGAUCUGUAGCUGGUCUGAGAGGACGACCAGCCACACUGGAACUGAGACACGGUCCAGACUCCUACGGGAGGCAGCAGUGGGGAAUUUUGGACAAUGGGCGCAAGCCUGAUCCAGCAAUGCCGCGUGCAGGAUGAAGGCCUUCGGGUUGUAAACUGCUUUUGUACGGAACGAAACGGUGAGCUCUAAUACAGUUUGCUAAUGACGGUACCGUAAGAAUAAGCACCGGCUAACUACGUG